AUUGAACGCUGGCGGCAUGCCUUACACAUGCAAGUCGAACGGUAACAGGUCUUCGGAUGCUGACGAGUGGCGAACGGGUGAGUAAUACAUCGGAACGUGCCCGAGAGUGGGGGAUAACGAGGCGAAAGCUUUGCUAAUACCGCAUACGAUCUCAGGAUGAAAGCAGGGGACCGCAAGGCCUUGCGCUCACGGAGCGGCCGAUGGCAGAUUAGGUAGUUGGUGGGAUAAAAGCUUACCAAGCCGACGAUCUGUAGCUGGUCUGAGAGGACGACCAGCCAAACUGGGACGGAGACACGGACCAGACUCCUACGGGAGGCAGCAGUGGGGAAUUUUGGACAAUGGGCGCAAGCCUGAUCCAGCCAUGCCGCGUGCAGGAUGAAGGCCUUCGGGUUGUAAACUGCUUUUGUACGGAACGAAAAGACUCUGGUUAAUACCUGGGGUCCAUGACGGUACCGUAAGAAUAAGCACCGGCUAACUACGUGCCAGCCGCCGCAGUAACAC
rnacentral:rRNA from 1 species